UAUUUUGAUGAGGGAUGUUGGUUUCCUGAGGGAAGUUUUUUGGACUGCUCAUUGGUGCUGGAAAGUUGUAAUAUUGAAAUAUACUCUGUAUAGAGCAGUAGUAAUAAAGUUUUUGAUGCAAUCCUUCUUCAGUAUCUUGGCCAACAGAUGGAAUCCCCUUAGAAAAAAUUUAGGAUCCUCUUAUUUUUGGCUGUUUUAUAAUUUUCUGAGAGAACUAUAUACUCUCAGAUCAUUGGGUGAAGGCAGGAUUUUUGAGAAAUGAUUGAGAGUAACUAUCCAUUCAUAUUCUCCAAUACAUUCCUCUAUGCUAUAGACAUCAUUAGAUGUCAUUGCUAUUCUAAUUUAUUGCUACAGGGAUUAGAAACUACAGAUUUACCGUAUUUUCCUGUAUAUAAUCCGCAGCGGCGUAUUAUCCGCA
rnacentral:lncRNA from 1 species